GCGACUGUGGCUCAGUAGGAAGAGUAGUCGUCUUGCAAUCAGAAGGUUGUGGGUUCAAGCUUCCUCCUGCCAGUAUACA